ACGGGUGCGGAACACGUGUGCAACCUGCCUUUAUCUGGGGGAUAGCCUUUCGAAAGGAAGAUUAAUACCCCAUAAUAUAUUAAGUGGCAUCAUUUGAUAUUGAAAACUCCGGUGGAUAGAGAUGGGCACGCGCAAGAUUAGAUAGUUGGUGAGGUAACGGCUCACCAAGUCAGCGAUCUUUAGGGGGCCUGAGAGGGUGAUCCCCCACACUGGUACUGAGACACGGACCAGACUCCUACGGGAGGCAGCAGUGAGGAAUAUUGGACAAUGGGUGAGAGCCUGAUCCAGCCAUCCCGCGUGAAGGACGACGGCCCUAUGGGUUGUAAACUUCUUUUGUAUAGGGAUAAACCUAGAUACGUGUAUCUAGCUGAAGGUACUAUACGAAUAAGCACCGGCUAACUCCGUGCCAGCAGCCGCGGUAAUACGGAGGGUGCAAGCGUUAUCCGGAUUUAUUGGGUUUAAAGGGUCCGUAGGCGGAUUUGUAAGUCAGUGGUGAAAUCUCACAGCUUAACUGUGAAACUGCCAUUGAUACUGCAAGUCUUGAGUGUUGUUGAAGUAGCUGGAAUAAGUAGUGUAGCGGUGAAAUGCAUAGAUAUUACUUAGAACACCAAUUGCGAAGGCAGGUUACUAAGCAACAACUGACGCUGAUGGACGAAAGCGUGGGGAGCGAACAGGAUUAGAUACCCUGGUAGUCCACGCCGUAAACGAUGCUAACUCGUUUUUGGUAUUUCGGUAUCAGAGACUAAGCGAAAGUGAUAAGUUAGCCACCUGGGGAGUACGAACGCAAGUUUGAAACUCAAAGGAAUUGACGGGGGCCCGCACAAGCGGUGGAUUAUGUGGUUUAAUUCGAUG
rnacentral:rRNA from 1 species